rnacentral:rRNA from 1 species
GGUUUCCGUAGGUGAACCUGCGGAAGGAUCAUUGUGGAAAUUGAACGGAAGAAUGACCCGCGAAUCGUCAAUGCGUACCGGAGAGAGCUCGCGAGCGCCUAAUGCUCACGCCGCUCGCGUCGCUUCGGCGUUUGUGGUACUCGAGACCAGCGCCGUAUCGAUGAACAAACAACGUCAGCACGGAUCGUGCCAAGGAGCCGCAUGGAGGGAAUCGUUCGCCGUCCCCCGCCUCCGACCGUCUUCGACGCGGGACGGGAGGCGGGGGGACGUACGCAAUCUCUACUCAAGUCUAAAUGACUCUCGGCAACGGAUAUCUCGGCUCUUGCAUCGAUGAAGAACGUAGCGAAAUGCGAUACUUGGUGUGAAUUGCAGAAUCCCGCGAACCAUCAAUUCUUUGAACGCAAGUUGCGCCCGAAGCCAUUCGGCCGAGGGCACGCCUGCCUGGGCGUCGUUAAUCCCCCCGCCCCUUGGCACCCGUGUUCAUGCAUGCGCAUCGACGGGGAUAUGCUGGGGCGCAGAGUGUGGUCUCCCGCGGGAUCGGCAUGCACGGCAUGUCGAGGUGCGGUUGGCCGAAAAUCGAGCACGGCGGUGACGGGCACCACGGCGUUCGGUGGAUCGUCCGAGAUUUGGCUGCGCCGUGGUCUCGGCAUGCCGCGGGCUUCGGACUUCGUCAAUUCCCGAGUGCGAUCCCAGGUCAGGCGGGACUACCCGCUGAGUUUAAGCAUAUCAAUAAGCGGAGG